UACGUAGGUGGCAAGCGUUGUCCGGAUUUACUGGGCGUAAAGAGCGCGCAGGCGGUCGUUCAAGUCGCGUGUGAAAGCCCCCGGCUCAACUGGGGAGGGUCACGCGAUACUGAUCGACUCGAAGGCAGGAGAGGGUAGUGGAAUUCCCGGUGUAGUGGUGAAAUGCGUAGAUAUCAGGAGGAACACCGGUGGCGAAAGCGCUCAUCUGGCCCAAUACUGACGCUGAGGCGCGAAAGCUAGGGGAGCAAACGGG
rnacentral:rRNA from 1 species